rnacentral:rRNA from 1 species
GGGCCCGCACAAGCGGUGGAGUAUGUGGUUUAAUUCGAUGCAACGCGAAGAACCUUACCAGGGCUUAAAUGUAGUGGGACAGGUCUAGAGAUAGACCCUUCUUCGGACUCAUUACAAGGUGCUGCAUGGUUGUCGUCAGCUCGUGCCGUGAGGUGUCAGGUUAAGUCCUAUAACGAGCGCAACCCCUAUCGUUAGUUGCCUAGCGGGUAAUGCCGGGAACUCUAGCGAAACUGCCGGUGCAAACCGAGAGGAAGGUGGGGAUGACGUCAAAUCAUCACGGCCCUUACGUCCUGGGCUACACACGUGCUACAAUGGCCGGUACAGAGAGCAGCCACUACGCGAGUAGGAGCGAAUCUAUAAAACCGGUCUACAGUUCGGAUCGCAGUCUGCAACUCGACUGCGUGAAGCUGGAAUCGCUAG